AGAGUUUGAUCAUGGCUCAGAUUGAACGCUGGCGGAAUGCUUUACACAUGCAAGUCGAACGGCAGCACGGGGCAACCUGGUGGCGAGUGGCGAACGGGUGAGUAAUACAUCGGAACGUGCCCAAUCGUGGGGGGUAACGUAGCGAAAGUUACGCUAAUACCGCAUACGAUCUACGGAUGAAAGCGGGGGAUCGCAAGACCUCGCGCGAGUGGAGCGGCCGAUGUCAGAUUAGGUAGUUGGUGGGUAAAGGCUCACCAAGCCAACGAUCUGUAGCUGGUCUGAGAGGACGACCAGCCACACUGGAACUGAGACACGGUCCAGACUCCUACGGGAGGCAGCAGUGGGGAAUUUUGGACAAUGGGCGCAAGCCUGAUCCAGCCAUUCCGCGUGCAGGAUGAAGGCCUUCGGGUUGUAAACUGCUUUUGUACGGAACGAAACGGCGAGCUCUAAUACAGUUUGCUAAUGACGGUACCGUAAGAAUAAGCACCGGCUAACUACGUG
rnacentral:rRNA from 1 species